AAGUUUUGUAUUUUAUCAUAAAAGGUUACUUUACAAAUGUACACAUAUCGAUCUAUGAAGUGGUGCUAGCGUUAAUCCUUUUUUUUUACAACCUUCGUUUGGAACAAAAUUUCGCACAAGGAAGUUUCUCAGAAAAUAUCAGAUGCUGUCUCAUAUGAAGCAAUGGAUCAAUGUUUCCAGACCAAGUCUCCGCCAAAUUCAUUCAAACUGUGUCCUGUUCGGUGAAAAAUAUGAA